UACGUAGGGGGCAAGCGUUGUCCGGAUUUAUUGGGCGUAAAGAGCGUGUAGGCGGCCACACAGGUCGAGCCUGUGAAAACUCGAGGCUCAACCUCGAGACGUCGGUUGAAACCGUAUGGCUAGAGUCCGGAAGAGGAGAGUGGAAUUCCCGGUGUAGCGGUGAAAUGCGCAGAUAUCGGGAAGAACACCCGUGGCGAAGGCGGCUCUCUGGGACGGUACUGACGCUGAGACGCGAAAGCGUGGG
rnacentral:rRNA from 1 species